AUGUAGCUCAGAGGUAGAGCACUUAACUAGCAUGCAAGAGGCUCUGGGUUUGAUCCCAGCAU
rnacentral:tRNA from 1 species